rnacentral:rRNA from 1 species
GCACGUUAUGGUGGGCACUCUAAGGAGAACUGCCGGUGGACAAACCGGAGGAAAGGUGGGGAGUGACGUCAAGUCAUCAUGGCCCUUACCGGCCUGGGCGUACACACGUGCUACAAUGGUCGGUACAAAGGGUUGCCAAGCCGCGAGGUGGAGCUAAUCCCAUAAAACCGAUCGUAGUCCGGAUCGCAGUCUGCAACUCGACUGCGUGAAGUCGGAAUCGCUAGUAAUCGUGAAUCAGAAUGUCACGGUGAAUACGUUCCCGGGCCUU